CUCUCUGCGCUGCGGGUAGUUGGUUUGGUCACCUCACGUCAGUUUGCAUCCUACUGUGACAGGAGUAAAUGCUUUUCUGAAAAGAUUCUUAGCAGUAACAGAGGUCUCCAGGUGCAUUACAGAAGUUUAAAAUCACAAAUCACACAGUGUGUCCCAUCUCGGUAUACUGGAAAGAAUGAAAAAUUAUCUAGCCAACCGUAACAUCUAGAGGGCAAUCUCAUACUCCAGCAGUGUGACUAUAAAUCUAGCAGUCAGAACGGUUCUGGCUGUGUAAAUUGCAUUGUUUUAAAGUAAAGGGGCUUAAGGAAGCUAUGAAA